rnacentral:rRNA from 1 species
CAGUAGUCACGAGUUUGACUCCGGCUCAGAACGAACGCUGGCGGCAGGCCUAACACAUGCAAGUCGAGCGAGAUCUUCGGAUCUAGCGGCGGACGGGUGAGUAACGCGUGGGAAUAUACCCUUUGGUACGGAAUAGUCCUGGGAAACUGGGGGUAAUACCGUAUGUGCUCUUCGGAGGAAAGAUUUAUCGCCAAAGGAUUAGCCCGCGUUGGAUUAGGUAGUUGGUGGGGUAAUGGCCUACCAAGCCGACGAUCCAUAGCUGGUUUGAGAGGAUGAUCAGCCACACUGGGACUGAGACACGGCCCAGACUCCUACGGGAGGCAGCAGUGGGGAAUCUUAGACAAUGGGCGCAAGCCUGAUCUAGCCAUGCCGCGUGAGUGAUGAAGGCCCUAGGGUUGUAAAGCUCUUUCAGCUGGGAAGAUAAUGACGGUACCAGCAGAAGAAGCCCCGGCUAACUCCGUG